rnacentral:rRNA from 1 species
AAUAAACGCUGGCGGCGUGCCUAAUACAUGCAAGUCGAACGGGGAAAGCUUUCGGGUGAGUACUAGUGGCGCACGGGUGAGGAACGCGUGGAUAAUCUGCCUUAGAGUGGGGGAUAACUAGUCGAAAGAUUAGCUAAUACCGCAUAAGACCACGAGAGCUGCGGCUUUUGAGGUCAAAGGUUUUUCGCUCUAAGAUGAGUCCGCGUAAGAUUAGCUAGUUGGUGAGGUAACGGCUCACCAAGGCGACGAACUUUAACUGGUCUGAGAGGAUGAUCAGUCACACUGGAACUGAGACACGGUCCAGACUCCUACGGGAGGCAGCAGUAGGGAAUAUUGCACAAUGGAGGAAACUCUGAUGCAGCGACGCCGCGUGAGUGAUGAAGGCCUUCGGGUCGUAAAGCUCUGUCGCAGGGGAAUAACACAAUGAAGGUACCCUGUAAGAAAGGAUCGGCUAACUUCGUG